GGACCCGCACAAGCGGUGGAGCAUGUGGUUUAAUUCGAAGCAACGCGAAGAACCUUACCCCGGUCUUGACAUCCCAAGAAGUCGGCGUUACGGCCGAUGUGCCCUUCGGGGAACUUGGUGACAGGUGCUGCAUGGCUGUCGUCAGCUCGUGUUGUGAAAUGUUCGGUUAAGUCCGGCAACGAGCGCAACCCUUGUCCUUAGUUGCCAGCGCGUCAUGGCGGGCCACUCUAAGGAGACUGCCGGUGUGAAACCGGAGGAAGGUGGGGAUGACGUCAAGUCCUCAUGGCCCUUACGAUCGGGGGCUACACACGUGCUACAAUGGGCGGUACAACGAGUCGCAAGGUCGCGAGGCC
rnacentral:rRNA from 1 species